GACGAACGCUGGCGGCGUGCUUAACACAUGCAAGUCGAACGGAAAGGCCCUGCUUUUGUGGGGUGCUCGAGUGGCGAACGGGUGAGUAACACGUGAGUAACCUGCCCUUGACUUUGGGAUAACUUCAGGAAACUGGGGCUAAUACCGGAUAGGAGCUCCUGCUGCAUGGUGGGGGUUGGAAAGUUUCGGCGGUUGGGGAUGGACUCGCGGCUUAUCAGCUUGUUGGUGGGGUAGUGGCUUACCAAGGCUUUGACGGGUAGCCGGCCUGAGAGGGUGACCGGCCACAGUGGGACUGAGAUACGGCCCAGACUCCUACGGGAGGCAGCAGUGGGGAAUUUUGCACAAUGGGCGGAAGCCUGAUGCAGCAACGCCGCGUGCGGGAUGACGGCCUUCGGGUUGUAAACCGCUUUCGCCUGUGACGAAGCGUGAGUGACGGUAAUGGGUAAAGAAGCACCGGCUAACUACGUG
rnacentral:rRNA from 1 species